AACAGAAAACAGCUAAGUGCAACCAGGAGUGAAUUAGCUAAGUGUGCCUGCAACCUCUCCACUUGUUGGGUUGUUUUUUUUUUUUUUAAUUUCAAUGUCAUGCUGAUUCAUUUACCGGAUACCGACCCAGAGGCCUACUUACUCGAAGAGAUUACGCCUCUCCCCCUGUGGCAGCGGGUGGGACCAAGGGCAGUCACCUGACCCACGGCAGCCGAUGGGGGGCCAGGGUGUGGUGAUGACGACGUAAUCCGGUCCGGCCUUGCCUUGUGGGGACCCUGCCCUGGUGGGCGCUGGUGUGACAGCAAAGCACGUCCCACGGUCAGGGAGGGAAGAAUCUUGCAAUCUUGCAAUUGCAAUCUGUUGUCAAGGCAGGCGUCACAGAGGAGGUGACGUUUGAGGUAAACGUCGCUGGAUGCAUGGCAGUUGCCGCACAGAGUAGGAGGGAGAAACCUGGCCCUUCAGGGACCACAUGGAGCGUGAGGAGAGACCUUCAGCUGGACACCCGUUGAGAUAACACAGGCAAGCAGAGCCGUCAAGUAUGAGCUGAAACAUAAACCAUAGAAGACAUCACACCCCGAGUCCUGGCGAUCGUCGUGCUGUGGGGAACAGGCCUCAGGGAUGACCCCAAAUCUCUCUGCACGGCGAUGUUUACAGGAUACGGUUUACAAGCUGGAAUUGACCCAGACACCGGCCCGCCUGGCUACUCAUCCCCGUAACGCCUGCCCUGGGGGCAUCGUCCCCUGGGUGGGGGCUCCUGCAAGGCCGCCGUGAGAUAGAAGAGCCUGGCUCCCCACUCCCCCGCCUGCCCCACCGUGGGUUCCGGCUCCCACGGGGCUCCGGGGUCUCCGUCCGUCUCGGAUCCCCCCACGGCACUCUCCGGCUCCAUCCUCUGUGCCGUCCCUGCCUUCCGGUACGAGCCCUCGGGGUGCUCACAGCUGCCCCCAACCCCGUCACGCAAAGACACAAGCUGACGGCUGGAGCCCGCGUGGGAGGAGGGGUAAGCCCACAGGGGCCUGGGUUCGAGUCCCGGCUCUCCCACAGACGGGCUGGGAGGCUGUGGACACCUUUCUGAAGAGCUGGAGCCUCAGAGGAGGAGGAGGGCGGCGCUGGGCCUGCCCCGGUGCUGGUUUUGAGGCUGUAACUACAAUACACGGGCACCGCGUGGAGGCCUGGCUGGCACCCCGGGGACAUGGGACUAAAUCCACGGUGCUUUCCCCGGGCCGUCUCCGGCGACACCCUUGCUCCGUUGGCUCCCGGGGCUGCUUCAGGAAAUCAGCACGAAUCCGGAGGCUCAACGCAGCAGAAACGGAUUCCCUCGGCAUCUGAAGGCCAGACGUCCGAGUUGGGGGGCGGGGGGGAGCGCUCCCAGGGAGGCUGAAGGGGAGGGCCGGCCUCGCUUCUGUGGCUCCUCAUGUUCCUUGGCCCGAGGCUGCACCCUCCAGCCUGUACCGGGGUCUCACGUGCCCCCCUUCUCUCUCUCCCUGCGCAGCUCCUCCAAGGACGCCGCUUGUUGGAUGGGAAGCCCACGUGGACGAGCGGAGAGGGGCACGUCCUGAGGCCCCGCACGGCCCCUUUCCGAAGUGAAGUCACAUGGAUGAACUCCAGGGAUUAGGACGUGCACGCAUGUUUUUGGGGAUCCCCUUCCACCUGCCACAAUCCACUCGGUCCUUCAGGGCCUGCCCUCACACUAAGACUCCAGGGACUUGCCUUCUGCAGCCUUUCCCUCCGGGCCGGGACUGCCAGGAGCACGUGGACACCUCCCCCUCUACUGGAUCAUACAUGACUUUUAAACGAUGCCUCUUUCAGUGCCAUGUUCCCCUCCGCUGCCCACUCUGACUUAGGGCGACUCUUCUGGAAACAAGUGUCAGGACACGUUGCCUCUACCUCCUAAUCUUGCAUUUCCCUUAAUACGCUGCAGAACGAGCCUCCGUGGCCCCCUCUCCGCAAGGUCACCCGUCCAACCUCCUUGGCCCUCAGCAGCUUUGGGGGUUCGCCCUCCUGCCGGAGGAGCUUCCCCCACGCCCUCCACGGUGUCAGGCUUGCCAGCCUCUCCGCCGGCCUCCUCUGUGGCCCCUCGUCUCCUCCUCCGUGGCCUGACGACCGCAGAGACCCAGGGGUGCAGCCCGAGGCGUCCCUGAGGUCUGAACAAGGAUGAUGCCACGUAGGAACUUUGACCCUCAAAAGUAUUUCCAAGACUUCCUGUGUGUCCCUUCACGCAACCUAAGCCCAGUUCUGUGCUCGAGAACAGCUCAUGACUCUACCUGAGGCCCCACAAGCAUGUCCUUUGGGUGGACUAUCAUGGGGUUGGCAGCGGCCGCGGCGGCAGUGGGGACUGUCUGGCGAGCAAGCACGGAUGCUCCCGAGAGAAGGGCAGUGAGCACCGCGUAGGUGGCACGUGGGGCCAGAAUGCUUGACAGGAUCCCUGGCGUCGGAAGACAGUGGGUCCCCCGGGGCAGGAGACCAAGGCGCCGGCCAGGACCAACCUUCUGAGUUUAUGCUUCCUGUCCCCGUAAACCGAAGCUCUGCUGCGUUAGAGAUCCUGGUGCCAAGUGUGGAAGUACUCCCCACGGGGACAGGACAUGCUUUCUCAGCGACCAACCAGGCCAUGAGAGGAUAAAAGGGUGAAUGGGACAUGCCAGUUUGGAGAGCGAAGCUGUAUAGGAGUUAAAUGUUCUGCUUACGGACGAGGCUUCCAGGAUACUAUUUCCAGUGCAAACAUCGAUGACACCAAGAUCCUCGUCAUCUGGAAGUUGAUAUAAUCCCCGAACGAGGUGGGAGGCAGAGCUGCUGGUAGGAAAUGGCACUACCUCCGGGCCACCGGGGAGGGGAGAACCAGCCAAUAGCCUGUCUGGGACCCACAGGGCAUAAGGUCAGACAACCAGAGUUGCCUUCCAUCAAAGCCAAUGAUCUUGUCCAUGGGAAGAAAUGGCUUUCUCUCCUGACCCUCCUGGGUUAGAACCCAGCGGCUGACCUUUAUGAGCCAUGGGACCCUGGACAGGCUUCCUACACACCCUCCUCCAGAUAGUCUUCAACGAGCUGAUCUAAACAUCAAGGAGAUGAUGUGCAUAAGGCACCCGGCACACAUAAAUAACUUCAUAAAUAUUAAUAUCCCUCCGCAGGCAGGAGCAGAGCUGAAAUGUCAAGGAGCAAUCUUCGAUUGUAGGUAGAGCACGACCCGAAAUAGUGUGAAUCCCCACACGUUCGAUGGGGCCAUGUCUGCCUUCCAGCAUCAUCGUGAAGAUGAGCCUAAUGCAUUAGAGUGUGUUGCCUGUGCCUUCUAGGAGAUGCUCAUUUGCUGUCAGCCAGCGAUGCAGUCCCUCAACGACCCUGCAUAAAAGUGACUCAGAAAGAAUAGGGGAGCCCUGUGGCUGGCUGAGUUCCCAGAGGGACAGAUUUCAGUUCUCUGCCAUUAGGCCCCGAGGCAUUACAAGGAGCCCCCGGGAAAAGGUUUGGAGGAAGUCCCCGUAGCCUCCAGAGCAGCACAGCGGUGAGGGCAUGAAGUUUAGAGUCGGACAGCAUGGGACCUGUCCCGGUCCGUAGACGGCCCCCGGGUGACCUGGGAGAAGUCAUAUAACCCUUUCACCCUGAUGUCCUCACUUGCAAAGAAUUGUACUAGUUUCUGCCUCAGGAAGGGCAGUGGAGCUCAAACGCCAGGACAGACCGGGUUCCUGGUGGAGUGGAGGACGCAGCAGCCUCUCACGGCCCUUGGCGUCUGGCUGGCGCAGGGGAAGGCGCGCCGUGUGGGACGUGGUGUAGGGCCUGCUGCAAGGAAAUGAAGAUCCGUCCCGAAUCCCCUCAAAAAACUCAAAAUGAAUAGUUAGGAACUUUGCGCUUCCAGGUUGACUCUGGCUCCUGCGAGGCAGAGCUGAAGUGACAUGGUCCCGUGGCUUAUUCAGGUCUUCCAGAUACGACCGGAUCCCAGGGCACCGCACACCUGUGCUUCCUCCAGGAUGGCGAAGACUUUGCUCACCCUUUCAUGAGCGCCUGCUGUUGACCCGCAUCCCGCUGCACCCUCUCGAGUGGUGGCUGCCGCCUCUGGAACGCGUGCAGCUUCGUAUCGCUCGUGUGUGUUCAGAAGAAAACUCUGAAACUGGACGUGAGACUGGUACAAGCACUGUGCACCUUGGCAGGUGCUCACACGGGACUUUCCAGAGGUUGUCUGUGUCCCCACUUCCUCGCCAGGUCAGCCCUUUGCAUAGGACACAUCCUGCGGAAAUGUGUCUGAGGUCCGCAGGGCGAGGCCGUGGUCGAUUCUGGAACACCAGCACGGACUGCCACCCCUUUAGAACAGUUGUGUUUAAAUUACAAAUGGCCUGACGUGCCAACAGGGUAUUAAUACCUCUGAUUUCUAUGCAUUGCUGUUAUCUUAUUUAUUUCUGGAAACAGAAUUCAAAUCUCACUUGUUUAGUAAGGAAUUUGCUGCAAUUUAUCGACAGUGCAUGCUGGCCAAAUUGCCUUUUGUUAGGUUUUAUGAUGACCAAUCUUCACGCUCUCAAGAGCACAGCUCUUACGGCAGGAAAACCCAUAACACAAAGGGCCUGUGUCCCCUCUGGGGAACCUGCGACGGGAAUCUUACCCUCUGAAUAUUGUGCUGACCUCAUGUGUAUUGAAUAAAUAAUGAUGUAUU